UCCCAUUGAUAGGGNGCUUGCCUUAUAUGCAAGAAACCUGGGUUCCAUCCCCAG
rnacentral:tRNA from 1 species